CCUGUCCGUACACCUUCGGCAUGGAAGAUUCACUGGUGCUCCUCCGGUUUCGCUUUGGCGGAAGGGCGCCGUAGUCCGACCCGCCUUCAGCAGCACCAAGAGGGGCCAGUCGUAGAGCUGAAUCCUCGCUGCCCCCUCCAUCUGCGUCUGGUUAGGUAAACGCCAGCCAAGAGCUCCUUCUACAGGCUGCGAUGGGCCCAGUGUUGCAUUCAGGAACUGUGGGUAGUUUAGAAAAAAAUCCACCUUCUACAGAUAGACCUGGUUCAUGCCCUGCGCUUUACUCUUUUUGUUUCACUUAAUAAAGUGUGCUCCAUGAUCAAUGAUCAAA